rnacentral:rRNA from 1 species
UACGUAGGGUGCAAGCGUUAAUCGGAAUUACUGGGCGUAAAGCGUGCGCAGGCGGUUAUGCAAGACAGAGGUGAAAUCCCCGGGCUCAACCUGGGAACUGCCUUUGUGACUGCAUAGCUAGAGUACGGUAGAGGGGAUGGAAUUCCGCGUGUAGCAGUGAAAUGCGUAGAUAUGCGGAGGAACACCGAUGGCGAAGGCAAUCCCCUGGACCUGUACUGACGCUCAUGCACGAAAGCGUGGGGAGCAAACGAGG